GAAAUGUGAUAAGUAAUGUGAAUUGCAGAAUUCAGUGAAUCAUCGAAUCUUUGAACGCACAUUGCGCCCGCCAGUAUUCUGGCGGGCAUGCCUGUCCGAGCGUCAUUUCAACCAUCAAGCCCCCGGGCUUGUGUUGGGGACCUGCGGCUGCCCGCAGGCCCUGAAAACCAGUGGCGGGCUCGCUGUCACACCGAGCGUAGUAGCAAUCACCUCGCUAAGGGCGUGCUGCGGGUUCCGGCCGUUAAACAGCCUUACAAAACCCAAGGUUGACCUCGGAUCAGGUAGGAAGACCCGCUGAACUUAAGC
rnacentral:misc_RNA from 1 species